ACAUAUAAAUACAAACAGAGGCCUUUUUUCUUCUGCUUCUUUACUGUGCACUUGAUAACUGAUCCAAUCAAGCAAAGCAAGGUCCUUCAAUUGACGACUCACAUCAUCCGUCAGAGGUAGAGAUCAGAAUGGGUUUUUCUAAUAAGUUGGGGAAGUGGAUAGCCGAGAAGGCCCAAAAGAAUAAGAUCAAAGUUCUUCAAGAUGUAAUAGACAAGCUAAACAAGGCGCUUGAUUGCAUUGCAGAAAGCGAGAACGCAUGCUUGAGAGAUGCUGCUAAAGAGCUUAAGAAGUCAAGAGACUUCGGGGGAAGAUUUGAAUCGACACGUUUGGAAAGAAAGAAGAUAUAAGAAGGACAUGCUAAGGGCUAUGCGGAUAUGCGGCCGCCUCUUGUUGCAGAAUUGUUUUUGUUCCAAAAACUAAAGAAGAUAGAGAUUGAAGCGUUGCAGAAUGGAGAUUUCACAAUACAAAAGAGGCAGCUGUGUUUAAUGUUUUAGUAUCAAGUUUUUGUUCUUCUUUAUCUCUACAGAUCCUAUCUAUUUAAAACUUCUAAUAUUAUAUAUACCAUAUUUUCCAAUGACACUGGUAAGUUUUCAACAAAAUAAAGUUACUAUUACUUUACAA